AAUGAUCCUUGUGGGUCCCUUCCAGCUCAGAAUAUUCUGUGAUUCUGUGAUAUCAAGUUUAAAAAAUCAGCUGCAAGCUCUUCAUACAUAUUAAAUUAAAGGAUAUGUUGCUGCUAUGUCUUUGGAGAAUUGAGCAAAGGAAAACAAGAGACAGACGCAUACCCCAGCUUUUGAACUGGCACAUCUAAUGGUUUGUACUCUCUGUGUGAUGGUUUGGCCCUGACAGCAGACCAGCACCUACCCAGCUGCUCUUCCACCCCCAGCAAAACAGAAGAAAAAAAAUAAGAAGAAUAAGGGAAAAACACUCAAAGAUGAAAAACAGAAGCAGCUGAAUAUAGGAAGGUAUGUGAUGUAAGGUGCAGUGCAUGGGCUGGAAGGGAAGUGAAGAAGGAAAAGCAUGCAAGCAGUAAUGAAAUGUUCUGAGUUCAAAGCUCUAAAAAUGAACUCAGAAGUUCUGAUUGUGCUUGGCGCAAUAAGAAGGGGUGAGGAACUGAGACCAGACUUCGGUGAAGAAAAACAUGUUAUAAAUUCACUAGAUUUGAAUUUGAAGGUUGAAGGUUGUCUUACCUGCAAUAGUGUUUAAAAACUAUGGAAAUAAUUGUGUUGUCUAAAUAUAUGUUCUAUCUAUAUGGACUAUAUGACCUCCAGGGGUGCAUUAAACCUUAUUUAUCCCAUGAUACUAUAAAAUAGGUAAUAAAC
rnacentral:lncRNA from 1 species